UACGGAGGGGGCAAGCGUUGUUCGGAAUUACUGGGCGUAAAGGGCGCGCAGGCGGCUGCUCAAGUCAGGCGUGAAAGGCCUGGGCUCAACCCGGGAAUUGCGCUUGAGACUGGGCUGGCUUGAGUGCGGGAGAGGAUGGUGGAAUUCCCAGUGUAGAGGUGAAAUUCGUAGAUAUUGGGAAGAACACCGGUGGCGAAAGCGCUCUGCUGGACUGCAACUGACACUCAGGGACGAAAGCUAGGGGAGCGAAUGGG
rnacentral:rRNA from 1 species